GCACAGAGAAGGGAAACAAUGAGGAACGUGCCUUUCGGUUAGAGGUUGUGAUUGGGAUGGAUGUGGCUGCUUCUGAGUUUUAUGGUAAAGACAAGACUUAUGAUCUAAACUUCAAAGAAGAGAAUAAUGAUGGCUCACAAAAGAUAUCAGGUUAUGACUGAAGGCUCUCAUUUCAUUGGAAAGUUUGGAAGCUACUGCAAGUUCUUUCUACUUGCUAGGGAUGAGAAUAUUUUAGUUUGUGCACAAGAGAAUCUUUUAAGUUUGUGCACAUGAGAAUCUUUCAAGUUUGUAUUUGUUAGGGAUUUGUUAUGUUAGUACUUGUUACUGACUUUUAGUUCAACAAAUUAUAUUUGAGUA